ensembl:lncRNA
GUCCUCAGGAGUGGUUCCAGUAAAUUUCAAACAUGCAUUUGUGCAGCCACUGAUUUAAAAAACCCGGACUGGAUCCUGCUGUUAUGUCUAAUUUUAGGCCCAUUUCUAAGAUGUCCUUCCUUUCAAAAAUCUUAGAUUGUCUACUCGCCACUCAUGGACUUUUUAAAUACAGAAUGUUCAUGAAAUAUUCCAAUCUGGUUUUAAAACAUUGCACAGAAUCAGUGCUUUUAAGAGUUAACGACGUAUUUACCUACUGACGCUCCACUGCUCUUCUGCCAUGUGGGGUCCCACAGGGUUCAGUGCUGGGUCCUCUUCUUUUCUUUGUACCUUCUCACACUUUUUAUUCCAUUGUUAUGCUGAUGAAAGCCAGAUCUAUGUACCCCUCAAAAAGGCUGAUUCAUACUCCCUUAAGCCACUGUUAAACUGUUUAGAGGAUGUCAAAACCUGGAUGGCUCUAAACUUUUUAAAUUUUAAUAAAAAAAAUACUGAAGUGAUUGUCUUUGGUGGCACCUCUGUGACCCCCUCAGUCGACCUGGGUUCCUUGGCACAGUAUGCCAAACCUGUAAAUGAUCUAGGUCAGCGAUUCCCAAAAUGUGGGCCGUGGGCCACGAGAGGUCAUUUACAAUAAAAAAAAAGUUUUUAAUUUUCAAUUUUGAAAAGUUUGAAAUAAUAUAAAAAUAUGUAUGAUGCGGCACAUUAGUUAUGUGAAACAUUAAUUGAUGAAGCACAAACAAUUUAAACGAACAGAUUGGUUGUUGGUCGCAGCAUCGAUCGGACCCUGAAAGCAGUCUCCACCCGCCCCGACGCCAAACGACUGCUAUGGCGGCAUAUCACCAGCCGGUCUGCGAGCUGGACGCAUUGGUCUUAAUGUGCCGGUAAUGAUGGUUGUAGCUGGUUGUCAUCUACGGUCCACUACGAUUACCGAAGGGGGGCGUUUGUUUUUUGACAACGUUUUAUUCUGACUUUCAAUCCCCUUUAUUUAGUGCGGAAAUGGGCUUCUAUAGUUGUGUGAAUGCAUCACUCCAGCCAAUCCAAAGACGGGGUUUGUAACCAAUCAGGUGUAGAGACCAUGAACAACAGCGAGUGCGAGCAGAGAUUCUCCUCGCGAGCAACGAAGUUCACGUUUCGCAAGCGAGCAAAUACCUCGCUUGAGACAAACUUUUGCUGGCGGAUGUUUGAUUUACGCGCGUGCAUCAACCUGAUUUGUGCUCUCGAAUUUUGACAGUGAUUUGCGCUAGAUUAAGAGUCUCAUGCUCUACCGACUGAGCUAGCCGGGCACUCUCAUGGACCCAACCCAUUUCUUCUGAAAUACUGCAAUUCUCUCUGGGACUACAGCAUAGUUUGUCUUGACUGUUCAUUUCCGUUAUUUGUUCUUAUUACAUGAAUAAGAAAGCCGAAAAUAUGAAAGGAGGGGCUUAAAAUGGUCAAUGUCACCCGAAUGAAAAACGAAAGUAUCUUAUGCGCCUUAUUGUGCGGAAAACACGGCACAUGAGCGCCGGAGAAAAUGGUUGUCAGUUAAUACAUUUUUAAUCGGUUAAAUUCUUAAGUUCAAAUCAUCCCUAGUUUAUGUUUUGAUCAGAGUUUAAAGGUUUGCGUGUGGCGCAAAAGAUUUUCUGUGGCCGCUGACGUAGGUAAAUCUUUGUUAUACACUGUUAGCUGGACAAUAAAAAUAUCGAUACUGCCUCUCAUAAAUAACACGAACACCCGUUUGAUCGAUCUGCAGCGAAAACAACCAGAAUACAAAUUAACACAUUUUCAAAAAGAAAAGUGAAAUAUGUUCUGCAAUAAUAUUGCAUGUUAUGCAAUUCAUCCUCAAAACACAGCUGUUGCUUGUCAGAUGCAAUCAAAUGGACGGUAAUAAAAUGGCAUGAUGCCAUCACAAUGCGUAAUGACGCUGAUGGCUGAUCUUGCGCUCUUAGAUGUGGCACAUGGAAGGAUUCGCGCUGUAGUGCAGCGCACCAUCGGCCUGUUUAAGGGCAGAUGGCGCUGCCUCGACUGGAGGGAGCUUAUUGUUUACUCCUGAUAAGGUGUGUAACAUCGUGCUGGCGUGUGCUGUGCUACAUAAUGUGGCACAGCUUCCAAACGUGCCUCGACCCCCUGAUGCCGAUGUUGGCCCAGACCCGGUCCCCGAUCCCCAAUCAUUGCCGCCAGUCUUUCAUCAGGAGGGGACAGCUCCGGUGUCC